UGGCUAAGUGGUAGAGCGCUUGGCUUCCGAACCGGAGAUCCUGGGUUCGAAUCCCGG
rnacentral:tRNA from 1 species